rnacentral:rRNA from 1 species
AGAGCGAACGCUGGCGGCAGGCCUAACACAUGCAAGUCGAGCGCCCGUAGCAAUACGGGAGCGGCAGACGGGUGAGUAACACGUGGGAACGUGCCCUUUGGUUCGGAAUAACUCAGGGAAACUUGAGCUAAUACCGGAUAAGCCCUUACGGGGGAAAGAUUUAUUGCCGAAGGAGCGGCCCGCGUCCGAUUAGCUAGUUGGCGGUGUAAUGGACCACCAAGGCUACGAUCGGUAGCUGGUCUGAGAGGAUGACCAGCCACACUGGGACUGAGACACGGCCCAGACUCCUACGGGAGGCAGCAGUGGGGAAUAUUGGACAAUGGGGCAACCCUGAUCCAGCCAUGCCGCGUGGGUGAUGAAGGCCUUAGGGUUGUAAAGCCCGUUUCGGCGGGGAAGAUAAUGACGGUACCGCAGAAGAAGCCCGGCUAACUUCGUGCCAGCAGCCGC